GCGGACCCAGCCCUCCGCUGCCCAGAGCUCGGCCACUGGCAGAGACCUCUGAGCAGGGAGAUUCUAUUUCUGGCUUCUUGAUAAGGCUCCGGGAAGUGGGUGGAAACAGAGAGGUGGAGGACUGCAGCGAGUGAAGGGCAGGGUGCAGAAAGGCCUAAUAACGUCGAAGCAAGUUUUUCAGCAAUUUCUGCAAACGCAAUGCAUUUCUUGUGGAGCUAAGACUGCGGUCAUUUGGUGGACUUGUCACCACCUGGGAGCUAGAAGCAGGCUAGAUUCCCAGACCUGGCCCAUGGUGUGCCAGAGGGAAAACAGAGCUGCUCCUGGGACUUGGGUUCAAGGAGCCCCUCCUCGGCACCAGACACCGAACACAUGCUCUCUAGUCCCCCCGACCCACAGGGGGGAUUUUAAAAGGUCAAGUGACUUAGUCACACAGGUAGGAGGUUGCCUGAGAGGCCAGAGAAAAAGCCAGGCUGCAGCGAGUGGCCCGCGUGCCCGAGGAGCGUCCCCAUCUUUCCCCAUGCUUCCAUCUGGACCCAGCUGUCCCUCCCUCCGUUGCCCCUGCAGAGGUUGGAGGGAUGAAGGUCUGUGGGUGCUGCCGGGAGGUGCUGAGCAGCUGGGGAGUGAUAUGUUGUCGUCUUCUCACCCCCUGUUUUGAGUCAGUCAGGUACCCGCUCACUGGAGGGAAAGAAGCGACUUUCCCGUAAUGGACUGUUACACGGGCCACUUCCUGACCCUGAAAGAGAGAGAUCCCAGGACCCCAGACACCACGUUUGAAGCUCUAGCAAGUACACAUCAGCCAAUCAUCAAUCAAUCGGAGAAUUUCUCAGAUACCUACCAUGUACUCAGAACUGGCAUUUAGCACAUGGUUGGAGUUUCAGGUUCUUCCAGCAAAUGAUGUGUCAGAAAUAAAUAAAAUCACAAUCUAGGUGAGAAAUGGUAAGGUCCUAAGGUCUUGAUAAUUGAAAAAGGGAAGAGCGCCCCAUCCCAAGCUGCCGAGAUGACUGAAGAUUGAAAAAAGAAAAAAAAAAAAGAAGCACAAAACUAGUGAAACAGAAGUAACAGAGAACAUUUAAUGCCUCUGCUGAUGACAGCGAUGGAUUAAUUCAAUAGAGAAAGAGUGAACAAACUGACAGCAAUUUCCUAUUAUGGAGAUUGAAGAUUCUGAUAAGUCCACAAAGAAAAUAUCUAAUGAAGGGAACAAGGUAUAUAUACCUAGGAGUGGAAUUGCUGGGCCACAUUGAUAGCUAUAUUUAACUUUUUGAGGAAACUGCCAAACUGUUUUCUAAAGCAGCUGCACCAGGAACAGUGCAGUUUUAAAGACUAGAAGUAAAUCAACUAAAGGGAAGU